UAAUAAUUGUGUGACACCAUUGCCUGGGAU
rnacentral:piRNA from 1 species